GAUGAACGCUGGCGGCGUGCCUAAUACAUGCAAGUCGAGCGAACGGACGAGAAGCUUGCUUCUCUGAUGUUAGCGGCGGACGGGUGAGUAACACGUGGAUAACCUACCUAUAAGACUGGGAUAACUUCGGGAAACCGGAGCUAAUACCGGAUAAUAUUUUGAACCGCAUGGUUCAAAAGUGAAAGACGGUCUUGCUGUCACUUAUAGAUGGAUCCGCGCUGCAUUAGCUAGUUGGUAAGGUAACGGCUUACCAAGGCAACGAUGCAUAGCCGACCUGAGAGGGCGACCAGCAACACUGGGACUGAGACACGGCCCAGACACCUACGGGAGGCAGCAGGGGGGAAGUUUGGACAAGGGGCGAAAGCCUGAUACAGCAAUGACGCGUGAGUGAAGAAGGUCUUCGUGUUGUAAAGCACUGUUGUCCAGAAAGAAAUCAUGGACUCGAAAAAAGGCGGGGGAGGACGGUACCGGAAGAAGAAGAACGGGCUAACUACGGG
rnacentral:rRNA from 1 species